AACGGCCAUACCAUGCUGAAUAUAUUGGUUCUUGUUCUUGUUCGAUCCCAGCAGUCAAACAUCAUUGGGCGCAGUCAGUACUUGGGAGGGUGACCACCUGGGAAUAUCGCGUGACGU